GCCGCCGUAGCUCAGCCUGGCGGAGCGCCGGACUCAUAAUCCGGAGGUCCCGGGUUCAAAUCCCGGCGGCGGCACCA
rnacentral:tRNA from 1 species